UUUUUCCUCCAAAAGAAAGUGUACAUUGUCACUGUGUUUCUGUUGGGAAUAAUUCAAUUUCUUUUAAGCAGCAAAUUUCUUAGAGGUACAGAAGUGUUUCGGUUCCAGACCCAAUUUCAAAGUUCAAUGAUCCUUUCUGCAAAGUUUUGGCCGUCGAUGGUUGCCAAAAAUGUACAGCAUGACGAAACAUCACGCAAUACAACUGAGGCAUCUGCUCCGAAACUCGUGGUUACAAAGACAAUACAGUCUCAAGCUACAGGAGAGGUCGUUUGGUCAUCUAUCAGAAAUACUAAUAUUACUAUGCAAGAAAUAAGA
rnacentral:sRNA from 1 species